UACGUAGGGGGCUAGCGUUAUCCGGAAUUACUGGGCGUAAAGGGUGCGUAGGUGGUUUCUUAAGUCAGAGGUGAAAGGCUACGGCUCAACCGUAGUAAGCCUUUGAAACUGGGAAACUUGAGUGUCGGAGAGGAAAUCGGAAUUCCUAGUGUAGCGGUGAAAUGCGUAGAUAUUAGGAGGAACACCAGUGGCGAAGGCGGCUUUCUGGACGAUAACUGACGCUGAGGCGCGAAAGCGUGGGGAGCAAACAGGAUUAGAUACCCGGGUAGUCCCUGAGCGGGCUGGCAAGG
rnacentral:rRNA from 1 species